rnacentral:rRNA from 1 species
AGAGGUUGCUUCUGGCUCAGGAUGAACGUUGGCGGUGUGCCUAAUACAUGCAAGUCGAACGGUGACGAUUUUGUAGCAAUACGAAUGAAAUCAUAGUGGCGAACGGGUGAGUAACGCGUUGGUGAUCUGCCUCGAAGUGUGGAAUAACUUCCCGAAAGGGUAGCUAAUACCGCAUAGUCUCUCAAGGUUUAGAAAAUUGAGAGUAAAGGAUUUAUUCGCUUCGAGAGGAGCCUGCGUCCCAUCAGCUAGUUGGUAGGGUAAUAGCCUACCAAGGCAAUGACGGGUAGGGGACCUGAGAGGGUGGCCCCCCACAAUGGAACUGAAACACGGUCCAUACACCUACGGGUGGCAGCAGUAGGGAAUAUUAGAAAUGGGCGAAAGCCUGAUCUAGCAACACCGCGUGUGCGAUGAAGGCCUUCGGGGUUGUAAAGCACUUUUUUGGAGGGAAUAGGAAGGGAGGUACUCCCAGAAUAAGUCUCGGGUAAACUACGUGCCAGCAGCCGCGGUAACACGUAGGAGGCAAACGUUAUCCGGAUUCACUGGGCGUAAAGCGCGUGUAGGUGGUUCUGUAAGUAGGGCGUGAAAGCUCCCGGCUCAACUGGGAGAGGCCGUACUAAACUGCAGAGCUAGAGGAUGGUAGAGGGAGGUGGAAUUCCAGGUGUAGUGGUGAAAUGCGCAGAUAUCUGGAGGAACACCAGUGGCGAAGGCGGCCUCCUGGACCAUUCCUGACACUCAGACGCGAAAGCUAGGGUAGCAACCAGAAGGACAGACUCCGGUAGUCUCUAGCCCUAAACGAUCCCUAGUCAGAGUCGGCGGUUUAAUCACCCUCGGUGUCCAAGCUAACCCGAUAAGUUUGCCGCCUGAGGACUACGCCCGCAAGGGUAAAACUCAAAGGAAUGGACGGGUCCCCGCACAAGCAGCGGAGCGUGUGGUUUAAUUCGAUGCUCCGCGAAGAACCUUACCUGGGUUUGACAUAACAGUGGUAGAGAAGUGAAAACGGAUCGACCCUUCGGGGAGCUGUUACAGGUGUUGCAUGCCUGUCGUCAGCUCGUGUCGUGAGAUGUUCGGUUAAGUCCGCUAACGAGCGCAACCCGCGCUGUGUGUUACAAGUGUCACACAGUACCGCCGGUAUUAAGUCGGAGGAAGGUGCGGAUGACGUCAAGUCAGCAUGACCUUUAUAUCCAGGGCUACACACACGCUACAAUGGUCAGAACAAUAGGUUGCCAAGCCGCAAGGCGGAGCCAAUCCUCCAAAUCUGGCCUCAGUUCAGAUUGCAGGCUGCAACUCGCCUGCAUGAAGUCGGAGUUGCUAGUAACCGCAGGUCAGCAUACUGCGGUGAAU